rnacentral:tRNA from 1 species
GCACCCGUAGCUCAGCUGGAUAGAGUGCUGCCCUCCGAAGGCAGAGGUCGUGAGUUCGAAUCUCGCCGGGUGCG